rnacentral:lncRNA from 1 species
CGUCUUGACUCACUAUUCCUAAAGAUCCUUUAAAGUAGGGCAUCUCCGUCUUCAAUGACCUCAUAGCAUCAUGAGGAAAGACGAGCAAACCAAGAACUUCUGGAACUUCAUAGGCCAAGGUCUCACCCUGUGGACGUCAGCCUCAGUGCAGGUGGCUGUGCCUGAGACUCACCGAUCCACUAGAAAGAGAAAGCAGUGGACGGCUUCUACAAUCACCGUCCUCCCUCCCUCCCUCCCUGGCCGGAAUGAUAACAGCUAAUGAGAGUUUUGACAUCUCUGUGAAUUUUACUCAUUAUCCCCCCUUUACCUGCUGUUAUUACUGAUAACAAGAAAUGGGUUGUUUUUUUUCC